CACAAGGCAACGACCUCAGGUCAGAUGGAUAUCCCCUCGGCGGAGGUGACCGAUGACAGCUGCGACGAAGCAAAUGACAUUUGUAUCUUUCUGAUGCUGCAAAACUAUGCAUUCGUUUCAUGCUCACGGUAAACUCGCUGCCUCCUCAGUUGGGUGGAUUAUUUUCUUUGGACUUGUUUUUGCUGGGGUCGGAGCAUACACAGUGUACAAAUACAGGCUAAGGAGUUACAUGGAUUCGGAGAACCGUGCCAUCAUGGCCCAGUACAUGCCGUUGGACAGCUAAGGAGGAAACCAGCGGCAUGUCGCGCAUGCUGGUAAUGAAUAAUGAUAUCUCAGAGUGGCGCUGAUUUUCCGGAGCAACAUACUAGGAGCAGGAUAUCUGAGAAGGAAUUGAUGAUGAGAAAAAAACAAAGGUAAUGCCAAACUUUCGAGUACCUCUCUAAUUAAUCUAGAGAAGUAAGAAUUUCUAUUGUCCUAUGAUUUCUUGGUAUGUCAAGCUUUUUAGCUGUGAGUUAUUAUUCCUUUUAACUAUGGGUUGUUACUCUAAUAUUGGUAGGUAGGUUGGGAUAUUAUUUGACAUUGGAUUUACUUAUCCUUUUAACUAUGAGUUGUUACUCCUGCAUGUUGCCCAGACUGCUUGCUCUGCAGCUUUAGCAGCGAAAACUGCAGAAGGUUUAAUGACCUACAUUAUUUUUGGCAAUUGGGUUUCAUAAAUCUUCAAUACUACUUGAAACUCUGUUCUAUGGCCCUUCUUAGUGUCAAGUUUCUCUAAUAAGCGGCCUAGCUCGCAUUGUCAAAGUUUUACUGUAGCUAUUAACCUUGAAUAAAUGUAUCAAUAAAUGACACACAUAUCUAUGUUAGUUGGCUCAAUGUUGCUUCGUUGCCGCACUUGAUAAGAAUUAUCAGGACUGGGAUGGUGUGCGUAUUUUGCUAGAUUCAGCCUAACCUGAGCCUUUCUGGUGAUAUUAUUAUUUUUGAAUAUUGAUGCAUUUACCAUGUUCUGUGAGGCUACUAGCUUAGUGGGCUUUUUUCCCGAUUCAUAAUGAGAGCUCUCGAGCUUAUAUCAUUUUGUUUAUGUUACCAUUAGCUUCUUUGAGAUAUCACAUACAGUACUGUGCUUUAUUUUGAAUUCAACCGGUGCUUGUCUAGAAUGAGGCUGUUAGAGACAAUCGUCUUCUUACUGGUAAUUAUAAUACACUUUAGCUGCAUCACAUGGAAUUGUUAGUUUUCUAUAAAUCCUUCAUUCCUAGAUCUUCCACCUAUAUUUAGAUAUAUGGCCUGAAGUCAAUUUAUCGCAGAUAUUUGGUAUCAAAUCGAACCCAAUUCCUAGCUCUGGAUUACUGUUUUUGUCUGCUUGCUGUGUUUGUGAAAUACUUGCCCUGUUCGUUGGAUGCUAAGGUUUGAACUUCCUCUAUAUUCCAUGUUGACAGCCAUGCUAAUUUUUUAAUAUGCCAAACCAAGCCAUUUGUAGCUUCAUUAAAAUAAAGUACCGUUUUACGAAAGUCUAAGAGAUAUGAUGUGUUUGGCUGUAACAUUUUUGCGUAUUCAAUUCAUUGGACUUAAAUUUACUGAUUCUAGCAUUCUUGCUGCAUCAACAUGUGCUAUUCUAGCAUUCUUGCUUUUGGAUAUAAUUUUCUAGUAUCAAAAAUGGUGUCAAGUCGUUACUAUAGCUCCCCACUUGAUGAGAUCAUAUUUUAUCAAGUUUUUGACAACUAAUUUGCUUUAGUCCGAAAUUCUUUACAUCAGAGCCUUAUUAGAUAGUUUAUACAUUCAUUUGGAUCUUGAUUCUUGUAAAUGAUCUAGAAUGCAUCAUCUGCUGUGCAUGUUACUCUUUACAGAUAACUUGAUCAGUUCUCUUGCUCUACUGUAUAUAAGUUAUUUUAAGAUCUGCUCAUUUUGAGGGCUGAAUGUUUUAGAUAGGAAUAUAUGUCUUUAUUGUGUGGGCUGGGUUUGGUUGACUUAAUCAAUGUAAGCAUGAUCCAGCAAUUUUUAUUUCAUGUAGAAUUGACCUUGAGCUUGUUUUUGUUAUCUCCAUAGUGUCUUAUUUAAGUUUUUUUGACUAAGAUGAAUUCUGUUUGUUAUUUGUUUCGGCUUGCCGUUGCGGGGAGUUCACCAUGCCUAUAGAAAUGACAUGGUUAUUUGAAUUUUUGUUAGGUCGGCAUCAUUUUCUUCUUUUAGUGCUACUCCCUUAUGUGGUUUUCUGUGUCAAAUCCUCACCAUCUCUUAGAUGUUUGUAAUUAUUCUUGCUGUAUGAAAAUUCUCCUUUUAAAGUUGAUUAGGAUAUAUUGGCAAUGCCCUGUUUAUACAAGUCAUAUAAUUGCGAAUAUGCAUGCCGCUGCGAAAUUAAUGAAUAAGAGUUCUCUGUGCAAAUUCAACUUCCACCUCUGUUUGCAUCACUUUUAUGAUAUAGUGGAAACUUAACAAAUCAGUGAAAUGAUUGCUCAUUUUUAUUGUUUACUGUUUGAUAUCCUGUAGUUCUCUCUCUGGUUAGACCGCUGUUUGAGUUGGAUUGUACCAAUGUACGUCACACUGGCUGUGACUAUUUUGUAAAUUGAAGUAUAUUGUUUGAUUUGCAGGUAUUGAUGUCGAGAAAACAAAAAAGAUAAUGCCGAACUUUAGAAUACCUUGCUAAUCAAUCUAGAUCAGUAAUAAUUUUCAUUGUCCUAUGAUUUCUUGGUAUGUCAAGCUUUUUUUGGGGUAUGGUAUGUCAAGCCUUUUAACGGUGAUUUGUUAUUCCUUUUAACUGUGGGUUGUUACUCUUAUAUUGGUAGGUAGGUUGGGAUAUUAUUUGACAUUGGAUUUACUUAUCCUUUUAACUAUGAGUUGUUACUCCUGCAUGUUUGGCCUGGACUGCUUUCUCUACAGCUUUAGCGGCCAAAACUACAAAAGGUUUAAUGACCUACUUUGUAUUUGGCAAUUGGCUAUCAUAAAUCUUUAAUAACUACUUGAAACUAUGUUCUAUGGCCCUGCGUAGUGUUAGGUUUCUCUGAUAAGUGACCUAGCUCGCACUGUUGAAAAUUGUACCUUAGCUUUUAACCUUGCAUAAAUGUAUCAUUAAGUGCCACACCUAUCUAUGUUAGUUGGCUCAGGGUUGCUUCCUUGCACUUGAUAAGAAUUAUCAGGAUUAGCUGGGCGUGAGCAUUUUCCUUGAUUAGUUAUAGGAACUAGCCUUUGGUAUUCAGUGUAACCUGAACCUUUCUGGUGAUAUUAGUAUUUUAGAAUAUUGAUGCAUUUAUUAUGUUGUGCGAGGCUUGUAGCUUAGUUAGCUUUUUUUUCCUGCAUGUUGAGCACCUUUGCUUCUUAACGAUUCUUAAUGAGCGCCCUCGAGCUUAUAUCAUUUUGUUUAUGUUUCCAUUAACUUCUUCUAGAAUCAGGCAAUUAGAAACGAUUGUCUUCUUACUACUGAAUAAUACACUUUAGCUGCAUCACAUGGAAUUGUUAAUUUGUUAUAAAUCCUUUGUUUCGAGGUCUGCCGCCUAUAUGUAGAUAUACGGCCUGAAGUCAAUUUACCGUAGAUAUUUGGUAUCAAAUCGAACCCAAGUCCUAGCUCUGGAUUAGUGUUUUUUGUCAUCCUGCUCUGUUUGAGAAAUACUUGCCAUGUUCAUUGGAUGCUAAGGUUUGAACUUCCUCUAUAUUCCAUGUUGACAACCAUGCUAAUUUUUUAAUGUGCGAAACCAUGCCUUCUCAAGCUUCUUAAAAAGAAAGUACUGUUGUUAGGUAAGUCCGAGAGAUACGACAUGUUUGGCUGUAAUAUUUUGCAUAUUCAAUUCAUUGGUUGUAAAUUUACCAAUUCCAGCAUUCUUGCUGCAUCAGUGUGUGGUAUUCAUGCAUUUGCUUUUGCGAUAUUAUUUUCUAGCAUCCAGAAUGACCCAGAAUGGUGUCAGGUCGUUACAAUAGUUAACAACUUGAUGUGAUCAUAUUUUUAUCAAGUUUUUGAUUGUGACAACUAAUUUGCUCUAGUCUGCAAUUGUUUACAUCAACGCUUUAUUAGAUUUAGCUAAGUGGAUCGUUUAUUUAUUCAUUUGGAUCAUGAUACGUGUGAAUGAUCUACGAAUGCAUCAUUUGGCGUGCAUGUUACUCUUGGCAGAUAACUUAAUCAGUUCUUGCUCUACUGUAUCUAAAUUAUUCUAAAAUCUGCUCAUUUUGAGAGUACCUAGAGUCGUGCAUACAUAACUGACCUGUAGUGUAACCAUGUUGACCUGUAGUGUAAUCCUGGGACUGUAAAAUAAUCCUGGGCUUGAUAAUGCUUCCUUCUAUAGUAUGUGCAUAUGCAUGGUGUGGCUUUAUAUGUUUGUGGUUGACUGGCAUUUGGUUCACCUGUUUCAGCAGUAUACAUGGUGUUUUUCAGAUCAGUUGUUGAUAAAUACGAGGGUGUUCAGUGAAAAUGAAACUAUGUUAUGAACUCUGGUUUAUUUCGCUUUUUCCUGUCACAAGUCAAUUUGUGACUUUGUGUAGUAGUGUACUGGAAUUGUGAGUUCGUGCAAACAUGUCAUAUUUUUUUAUUUUGCAAUGACAUUACUGCAUAAUGCUGAAGCAUCAGUGCAGUAGUAAUUGAUGAUUUAGUAACUACUAGGAAAAGACAUUUUCAUACACAGUUUGGGUAUAAUACUUGUUUUCAUUAGUUUUGAAGGGGUAAAACCAGUCAUAUUUCUUGUUUCUACAUAACAUUACCAAUUUAGUCUGCCCCUGAAUUCUCAAUAAGACAUGGACCAAUUUUUUGCUGGCCUGCAUGCACAUGCUAGGGAUGGUAAGUUCAUAUCUCUGGCUCUACUGGAGCUCAUCCCAUCUUGACAUAUUUCACGGGUACUUUGUAGUAUGGGCUUGUAGUUAAGAUGAUGCUCCCUAGUUGUGAUUGUUAUUUCCUUGCAGCAUUAAAUCUUCCUCUUGUUUUACUCGUACGGCCAUGAUAGAAAGGAAAAAACAUCAAUUGGCCUUUUAAUUUUGCUCGAUCAAACCAGAGUUUCAAUUCAGUGUGAAACGUGAGUGUUCUCAAGUGUAAUGAAAUUUGCAAGUGGACCUGGGCUUCA